AUAAGGAGGGGAUAACAUCCCGGAAACGGGUGCUAAUACCGCAUAGUUUUUCUUGAUCGCAUGAUACGGGAAAGAAAGACGGCCUUUGUGCUGUCGCUUAUGGAUGGACCCGCGGCGUAUUAGUUAGUUGGUGAGGUAACGGCUCACCAAGACGAUGAUACGUAGCCGACCUGAGAGGUGAUCGGCCACAUUGGGACUGAGACACGGCCCAAACUCCUACGGGAGGCAGCAGUAGGAAUCUUCCGCAAUGGACGAAAGUCUGACGGAGCAACGCCGCGUGAGUGAGAAAAGGUUUUUCGGAUCGUAAAACUCUGUUGUCAGAGAAGAACAAGUUGGAGAGUAACUGCUCCAGCCUUGACGGUAUCUGACCAGAAAGCCACGGCUAACUACGUGCCAGCAGCCGC
rnacentral:rRNA from 1 species